UGAACUCGCAGCCAUAGCAACCGCCAACUUAGAAGUGGUACCAAAACUUCUGAGGAAGUCGCGCCAUGUGUGGCUAAAAAAUGUAGAUUUAAAAAUAAAACACAAGCCCAGCAGCGUGCCUUUUCACUUCCGAAAGACAAACAGCGAUUAAAAAGUCCGAGCGGAGACGAGGACGCACAAGAGAUGGGCUUCUCUUCCAAUGCUGAUUGGUCAGAGGAAUUCGGUGCGCGUUCACGUGCGCGCGUGAGGGUUCGUCUUUUUUUCCGUUGUGGACAUUUUGUUCUGGCUUCAACCUAAACAAGGCCAAGAUUAUUUUUGGAGAUGCUGUUAUAUGUUAGUUGGCUACAAACUGGAUGACAGUCAUCUAAACUCACUCAGAAGUUUCUGGAAAACAGUAACCCUUGGCUCACUACGUCUUUUUCCUCCGUAGAAACUCCCCUGCGGUGUUUUUUUUAACAAAGGCGAUGGUUAAUAGAACUUGAUUUUUUUUUUUUUGUUUAAAUAGCUCGAAAUGUUUACGCUAUAGGUUGAGAGUUUCAAGGUUAAAAGCGAAACAUUUUAUAAGGCAUGGAUGACACUUGAAGAUUCCCCACAGUCAGAUGCUGGUAAUGAGAGGUGACUUUAGGCAUUAAGGCAAGAAAUCCAAAGAGUUGGCAAAAAUGAAGUAAAAAAACAGUAGGGGAGCCUGGGGGUGAUUGGAACACUUACAGCUCGCAGAAUAUUUGGGCCACGAUUCUUACACUUUGGCAUAAAAUAGCCUUAUGUACCCACUGCAAGUAGAAAUGUUUGUAACCUGUUCAACUUUCUCAGGCAAUUAAUUACCUGAUGCAUAACACAAGGAGUUCUAUUGUUCAUAGCCUGCCUCACUGCUGGGAUAGUAGUAACACAACCUGGGGUAAAUUAUAACAAUUAGAGUAAAAAAAAUCAAAAUUGAGACCAUAUGCAUCUUAGUCGUUUUAUUGUGCAUUGCUUCAGUAGUUUUAAGGUCUUCAUCUAGGUCAAAAAGCUCCCACCUCUGACUUUUAAAUCUGAGUCAGCUCUUGUCAGAAAAUGUGCAGUAGAAGCAGUAACAGAAGAACAAUGUAAUUGUAUUUCCCCCAAGAGUAGUCAUGUUUUUCUCACCCACUGUCCUGGCACCCAAAAAAAGUAAAAAGAAAAGAAAAAUCCAAAAAAAAAAGGACAUGGGAAACUGUUUUUCUUUGUCAUCAUGGGGAUAGUUUUAAUACUUUUAAAAUAGGUGUUAAGACCACCCCACCCAUUUCAACCAUUGUUUAGCCAGCUGGAGCACCAUGGGGGUCUGAAAUUAGCAUAGGUUAAAUGCCUCACAUUUUACCCAAGACACUGCUUUUUAAAAUUAC
ensembl:lncRNA